AGGAUGUGUCUUUUUGGCUACUGCUCUGCUGGAGCUGAAACUUUCCCAAAACUCACAGCUAAGCAGUUCAGUGUGUGUUGCAUGGGACAGCUACAGAAUUCCAAUUACUGCAAUGAUGACCCUCUCUUGCUGUUCCCACUGGGUGUCAUAAACUCCAUGACUCCUUCCAAGAAACGUUAAGUCAGUGCACCACGUGCUGGAUCCAGGACUCUUGACUGAAUGUGCCUACUGGACCAUCUGUAAUCCCCACAGAGCAGGAUCUUCAGAACUAUUGGAGAGGCCACCGAGACUUGAAGUCUUUUAUAAUUUGUCUUCCUGAGCCUAGAAGAGAUUCCCCUCAAGUACCUACAUGUUAUUCAGAAUAAGGUUAUUCUGACUCAGUUAAGCAAAGGGAGCUCACCUUCUAAUGAACUCAGGUGGACACAACACCAUAGUUAAAACUUGUCUUAAAACUUCAAGUUCCUUGAAACAAACUCCUUUGUGAGUGGAAUUAGAGUAGGAGAGAAGGACGCAGAACAAACCGAACAAUUGCUGGGAAUAUGAAAAUUAUAUAGGGCCAAUAAUGUGUUUAUCAUAAAGAAAAGCUGGCUAAAAGCUGUAGGAGGACAGUGACAGCUUGCCAGGUUUUCUUGUGUUUUUUUUUAAAACUAUUUUAAAGUUUCAGAAAAAUUAUCUGUUCUACAGAGAUAAUGCUUUGAUAUACUUUAAAAUAUAUGGUUGCCAGCAUAGUCUCUUGCAACUCUGGAGGUGUUGCUCUUUCUGUCUCUGGAGAAACUGUGACCCUGCAGGUCUCAGGUGAAACCCCUCUGUAAGUACAAACAGUCUGCCCCAUGUGGGCUUCACAGAGCUGGGAGAUGCUUAGCUAGUUUUGACAACCUAGGUCAGAACCUUGAGUGACUAUAGGAGGGGAGGAGGGGGGUAGAGACACCAAAUGACUCUCUCAUAAUUAUUCAAGAGGUAUUUAAGGCAGUGACAUGGACUCUAUUGCUUUGUGUUCCAUGCUUGUAAGCAAAGCCGUGGAAGACAAGAGUUCCUCAUCCUGCUGCAGAUCUAAACUGGAGUUGUGGGUACAGGUAAGCAAAGUGUG